GCUUUAGUAGCUUAAUUUAAAGCAUUGGUCUUGUAAACCAAAGACUGAAGUUUAAACCCCCUCCUAAAGCU
rnacentral:tRNA from 1 species